AGGACACCUAUCCCUGCAGCCCUGGGAGAAGAGCCCCAGCCCUUCUGUCUGUGCUGAACCCCUCCUGCCCACAGAACUGUCCCCACAGCCCCCACCAUGCAGUCUGCCCUCACAGUGGUUUCCAUCCUGACCCUGCUUCAAGGUGUUCAGGGUGAUGUCCAGCUGGUGGAGUCCGGUGGAGACCUGAGACAGCCCGGGGGGUCUCUGCGCCUCUCCUGUAAAGCCUCCGGAUUCUCCUUCAGUAGUAGCAACUACGGAAUGAGCUGGGUCCGCCAGGCUCCAGGGAAGGGGCUCGAGUGGGUUGCCAUUAUAUAUACUAGCAGUGGCAACGCAUACUAUGCAGACUCUGUGAAAGGCCGAUUCACCAUCUCCAAGGACAACGCCAACAGCCUGGUGAAUCUGCAGAUGAACAGCCUGAAAACCGAGGACACGGCCCUUUAUUACUGUGCGAGAGACACAGUGAGAGAAACCACAUCCUGAACCUGUCAGAAACCCUGGGAGGAUUCCUGGGCUGCAGCUGCCUGGGGGAGCAGAGCAGCAGAGACCACAGACAACAGCCCCAGCCUGGAUUUCCCAUCUUCCAUCUCAUUGAUUACUAAAACCCCCUGAUAUUAGACAUUCUAACAUUUGAACAAGAAGUAAACCUUUUACUAUUUUCCUCUUAAGGGUGAAACAUUCCUUAAGAAUUUCUCCUCUGUUCAAUUUCUAUUUAAGCAUAUUUAUUUUCUGAUGCUCAAAUGAAACAACAAAAGACUGAAAAUCAAAAAUUCUGAAAUAGGAGAGAGUCCAGUGAUUCAUCAUGGUAUGGAAGCUAUUGUUACUAAUGAAACACAUCCUAAGAACACAUUUAAUCAACUUUACUAAUGAAUACUGCACCUUUCUUCUCUGAAUUUCACCUAAUUUUGAGAUGGUCUCUCUCAGAAGGGCAUGUAGAGCUAGAAGCAGAAAGUGUGAGAGAGU